rnacentral:lncRNA from 1 species
AGGUGUAUCUGUAUAAGGGGGGCUUGAGGCUAGAGAUCUUUCGGUUGGUGCGGGAGCAGAGGUUGAAGACCUUGGACGCGUCGAUUGAGCAGGCAUUGUGGGUUGAGAAAUGAGAUGUAUUUGUCCGUGAGCGGGCUCAGGUGCCGGGGCAGAGUCAAGAUAGGAAGAGCCCGGUUCCAGAUGAUGGAGGGCAGUCGAGCAGCAGGCAUCCGCCGAGG